CUGGCGGCGUGCCUAACACAUGCAAGUCGAGCGAUGAAACCCUUCGGGGUGAAUUAGCGGCGGACGGGUGAGUAACACGUGGGUAACCUGCCUUAUAGAGGGGGAUAGCCUUCCGAAAGGAAGAUUAAUACCGCAUGAAAUGUUUUUAUCGCAUGGUAGAAACAUCAAAGGAGUAAUCCGCUAUAAGAUGGACCCGCGGCGCAUUAGCUAGUUGGUGAGGUAACGGCCCACCAAGGCGACGAUGCGUAGCCGACCUGAGAGGGUGAUCGGCCACAUUGGAACUGAGACACGGUCCAGACUCCUACGGGAGGCAGCAGUGGGGAAUAUUGCGCAAUGGGGGAAACCCUGACGCAGCAACGCCGCGUGAAUGAAGAAGGCCUUAGGGUUGUAAAGUUCUGUUUUCUGGGACGAUAAUGACGGUACCAGAGGAGGAGGCCACGGCUAACUACGUGCCAGCAGCCGCGGUAAUACGUAGGUGGCAAGCGUUGUCCGGAUUUACCGGGCGUAAAGGAUGCGUAGGCGGAUGUUUAAGUGAGAUGUGAAAUACCCGAGCUCAACUUGGGUGCUGCAUUUCAAACUGGAUAUCUAG
rnacentral:rRNA from 1 species